rnacentral:rRNA from 1 species
GAUGAACGCUGGCGGCGUGCCUAAUACAUGCAAGUCGAACGAACAGACGAGGAGCUUGCUCCUCUGACGUUAGCCGCGGACGGGUGAGUAACACGUGGAUAACCUACCUAUAAGACUGGGAUAACUUCGGAAAACCGGAGCUAAUACCGGAUAAUAUAUUGAACCGCAUGGUUCAAUAGAGAAAGACGGUUUUGCUGUCACUUAUAGAUGGAUCCGCGCCGCAUUAGCUGGUUGGUAAGGUAACGGCUUACCACGGCAACGAUGCGUAGCCGACCUGAGAGGGUGAUCGGCGACCCUGGAACUGGGACACGGUCCAGACUCCUACGGGAGGCAGCAGUAGGGAAUCUUCCGCAAUGGGCGAAAGCCUGACGGAGCAACGCCGCGUGAGUGAUGAAGGUCUUCGGAGCGUAAAACUCUGUUAUUAGGUAAGAACAAAUGUGUAAGGAACUAUGCACGGCUUGACGGUACUUAAUCAGAAAGCCACGGCUAACUACGUG